CACCCCUCCCCUUCUCUUCCCCCCUCCUCCCUCCCUCCUUCUACUUUUUCUAAUUCUCUUUCUUUCUCUCUCCCUCCCUGCCCUGUCUUCCCCCCUCCAUCUCUCCUUCCCUUUGGUCCCAUGCAAUGGGGCAGUCCAGCAGGUGCCUGUUUUCUGCUUCGUUCCCCUGUGCUACAUCUGCUCUCCCCUUCUUCAUAGAUAGCCAACCUGAUACCUCGGCCCUGGCUGUAACCUAAGUCUCUUUAGCAAUAGCCAUUACUGGGCAACAUACAUAUUCAUUCUCUCACUCUCAGUCUCUUGAUUUAAAUCUUUCUAGGACCACCAAAUUAGCUGGAUUCUCCCUUUCAAUCAAAACCAAUUGACAGCAAACAACUUCAGAGCGAAAAACAAGAUUGAAUGUGCUCUCAUCUGGUUCUCAGCAUGCAGAAAUUUGGGCUGUACAUCAGACUACAGUUUCUAAAAGGAAAGAAAUGGGAGUAAGGAAGAGAAAAGAGGAAGGGAACAAAAAACCAAAAUCUCCUUCAAGAAGGAAUAACUUCAAACAGCCCUUGAAUGGACGAGUGAGGAACAGCUUUCUUAAAUGAGCAAACUGAGGCAGAAGAGGCAAAGUGACAGCUCCGAGUCUACACAAUUACCAAGGAGAGUGGGCCAGAAGGUGGACGACUACAUCACCUACCCAGAUUAACUGAAAGCAGAGAUUCCAAAAAGAGCCAGUGAGCAAAUGUGAUGACAGAAGACACUGGCUUCACUCAAUGUCCUCACUACAUAGUGUGCAGUUUUAAUAGUAUUUAAGUACAGGCUUCUUAAUAUUGCCACAGUUGGAGAGGAAAAAAUGAAAAGAGGAAGACAAGGAAGAGAAGAAAUGGAGAAAUGCAAUAGAAAUGUACAAUUGCAGACUGUGGUGCACAGAGUGGAGCAUCAGACAUCAGUCUCGCCCUCCAGUGUCAAAACACAGUGUGGGGUACACUGUGAGUUGGGUUUAAAGAACCAUGGUUUUCUUUCCCAGGAUUUGAUCUGAUGUCAUUCCAAGACUUUGACUUCUAUUUAACUGUUCAAGUUCCAUCUGUUUCUUCUCAUUCUGUCAUGGAUUAAAUUCACUGUUACAACACAUAAUCUCUCUAACACUUCCUUCUCUUUCCUCAUUUCCUAGUCAGUGCUGGCACGUCCUCUGGGUUGCAUCCCUAGCU